rnacentral:rRNA from 1 species
UACAGAGGUCUCAAGCGUUGUUCGGAUUCAUUGGGCGUAAAGGGUGCGUAGGUGGCGCCAUAAGUCAGGUGUGAAAUCUCGGGGCUCAACCCCGAAACUGCACUUGAUACUGUGGUGCUGGAGUACUGGAGAGGAGAUUGGAAUUUACGGUGUAGCAUUGAAAUGCGUAGAUAUCGUAAGGAAGACCAGUGGCGAAGGCGAAUCUCUGGACAGUUACUGACACUGAGGCACGAAGGCCAGGGGAGCAAACGGG